CUUAAAUGAAUUGGCGGAGGCGCGCACAAGCGGUGGAGCAUGUGGUUUAAUUCGAAGCAACGCGAAGAACCUUACCAGGUCUUGACAUCCUCUGACAACCCUAGAGAUAGGGCUUCCCCUUCGGGGGCAGAGUGACAGGUGGUGCAUGGUUGUCGUCAGCUCGUGUCGUGAGAUGUUGGGUUAAGUCCCGCAACGAGCGCAACCCUUGAUCUUAGUUGCCAGCAUUCAGUUGGGCACUCUAAGGUGACUGCCGGUGACAAACCGGAGGAAGGUGGGGAUGACGUCAAAUCAUCAUGCCCCUUAUGACCUGGGCUACACACGUGCUACAAUGGGCAGAACAAAGGGCAGCGAAGCCGCGAGGCUAAGCCAAUCCCACAAAUCUGUUCUCAGUUCGGAUCGCAGUCUGCAACUCGACUGCGUGAAGCUGGAAUCGCUAGUAAUCGCGGAUCAGCAUGCCGCGGUGAAUACGUUCCCGCCCCUUGCACACACCGCCCG
rnacentral:rRNA from 1 species